AACGAACGCUGGCGGCAGGCUUAACACAUGCAAGUCGAGCGCCCCGCAAGGGGAGCGGCAGACGGGUGAGUAACGCGUGGGAACGUACCUUUUGGUUCGGAACAACUCCGGGAAACUGGAGCUAAUACCGGAUAAGCCCUAACGGGGAAAGAUUUAUCGCCGAAAGAUCGGCCCGCGUCUGAUUAGCUAGUUGGUGAGGUAACGGCUCACCAAGGCGACGAUCAGUAGCUGGUCUGAGAGGAUGAUCAGCCACACUGGGACUGAGACACGGCCCAGACUCCUACGGGAGGCAGCAGUGGGGAAUAUUGGACAAGGGGCGCAAGCCUGAUCCAGCCAUGCCGCGGGAGUGAUGAAGGCCUUAGGGUUGUAAAGCUCUUUUGUCCGGGAAGAUAAUGACUGUACCGGAAGAAUAAGCCCCGGCUAACUUCGUG
rnacentral:rRNA from 1 species